GGAUGGCAAGAUCCUGGUAUGCUGGGGAGCCUGAAAAGGCUACCUAGCAAGACCCCUUCGUGGGGUCGCAUUCUUCACCCCCAGCAGGGGGUUC
rnacentral:misc_RNA from 1 species